ensembl:miRNA
UUAGAUUGGUGCAAAAGUAAUUGUGGUUUUUGCUUUGAAAAGUAAUUGCAAAAACUACAAUUGCUUUUGCACCAACCUAAUA